CAACAUUGUAGCUCAGGCACCGAUAGACAACAUAGCGAGAACCAGAGGGAGGGAUUGGAGGGAGAGGGAGAGGGAGGGAUGGAGGGGGAUAUGGAGAGAAAAAGAGAGAGUGAGAGAGAGAGAUAAGGGCAGAGGGAGUCUUACCAGAGAAAGGGGAGUGAGAAAGAGAGAAAAGAGACUCUGGAGGAAAGGGAGAGGGGAGUGAGAAAAAAUGAGAGAGAGGGAGAGAAGACAAAAUGAGAGAGAGAGAAUGAGAGAGAGGAAGAAGAUAGAAUGAGAGAGGGAAGGAAUGAGAGAGAGGGGGAGAAGAUAAAAUGAGAGAGAGAUAGAAUGAGAGAGAGGAAGAAGAUAGAAUGAGAGAGAGGGAAGGAAUGAGAGAGAGGGAGAGAAGACAAAAUGAGAGAGAGGGAGAGAAGAUAGAAUGAGAGAGGGGGAAGGAAUGAGAAGAGGAGAAAGAGGGAUGUGGAAGGGAGAGGAAAGGGGAUACAGAGAGAGAGGACUGAAAAGAGGACAGGCUGAGGCAACAUAGGGAGAGAGAGCGUGAGUGUGUCUUGUGUGAGAUAUUACGCACUGGUCCUCUCCUCCCACGUCGACUGGCACAGGAGAGAAGCAGCAAGCGCUGGUGAGAGGGCGAUAGGCAUGGGCAGUCUCCAGCUCUCCCUUUGUUUGCAUCUGAAAACACAGGAUUACGGUCCUUGGGUUGAAAUAGCAGGGAAUGACAGGCUCGUGGGUACAUGCUUACAAGAAGAAGAAUUCUGCUCAGAACAGCACUGGCUCAGUGAGGAUUGCCAGGCGCUUGUAUCAUCCUCGUACUGCGGGUCUGAGACUGUGCCAUACCACACUGACACAGCUCAGCAGGGACGGACUGAAAUGAUGAACCAGAGACAGCGGAAUGAUGAAAUAUCUCUCCUAUAGAGCACAGAACACAGCGUGGUGUGUAUGUGUACUCACAUGAAAGGUGUUUUCUUAUGUGUUUGUAGCUUAAUUCCAUGCAACAUGACUUCAUGGGUUUUACUUUUGUAUAUGGCUACGAGGAAGGCAAUCUCACUGGAGUAUCUACUGUCAGAGGAUCUUUAUAUAAGCAUGGGUUUGCAGCUUGAAAACAGGAGUUUAGACUUAGAGUACAUCAACACUAAGUUGCCGGGCUUCUUCUCUGCAACAGGGAGAUAACAGCUGUUAUUAUGGGC
ensembl:lncRNA